AUACGGAGGGUGCAAGCGUUAAUCGGAAUUACUGGGCGUAAAGCGCGCGUAGGCGGUUUGGUAAGUCGGAUGUGAAAGCCCCGGGCUCAACCUGGGAAUUGCAUUCGAUACUGCCAGACUAGAGUAUGGUAGAGGGAAGUGGAAUUCCGGGUGUAGCGGUGAAAUGCGUAGAUAUCCGGAGGAACACCAGUGGCGAAGGCGACUUCCUGGACCAAUACUGACGCUUAGGUGCGAAAGCGUGGGGAGCAAACAGGAUUAGAAACCCUAGUAGUCC
rnacentral:rRNA from 1 species